AUAAUGACUCAAAACUCAAAACGUUCUUCCACAGCUGACGCCAAACUCGCCAGCGGCGCCUAUCGUCACCAACCGCCGUCCAUUGUACAACCAUCAACGUGCCGCUUUACACGACCCGAUUCUAAAGGGAGAAACCCUAGUCGCCAUAGUUCUUUUCUUAUGUUUUCUUUUGACUUGUGCCGCCCACACCCUUGCUUUUGUAUUGGUUUGUCGCAGCCGAUCGCCACCGUCCGCCGAUUUAUUCCUCACAAGGCUAAGGUUCAAGUUUCUGUAGGGUGUUUGGUUCCGUGAGGUGAAAAGGAAAAAAGAAAAAAGGUUUUGCUCUAUACCCAAUUUUGCAUUUUUCUUUUUGUUUUGAUUUUUUAACGAGGUGGGUAAUGAUAGGAAUGUUAUUAGAAUAGAAUUAGUGUAUUAGGGUUUGUUGUUAAUUAUGUAAGAAGUUUUUUUUGGGGGAGAGUUUUUCUAUAAAUAGAGUGGGCUAGAAGGAUAUGGAGUGAGGCAUUUGGUGAGUGAAUUGGUGAUUUAGUGAAUGAAUUAGGGCUUGAGGAGUAUCUCAAAAGGGGUUCAGCACCUCUAAUAGUUUCUUUUUAUCUCUACAUUUCAAUACAUUCUGGUUCUGUUUUGGAUUCUGUCAGAGGUAUCAAAUGUAUCUAGUACUUGUACAAGUCUCCCAUUAACGAAAUGUUAUAUGUUUCGUAGGAAAAGAAAGGACUGAUAGAGUUUUUGCUUGUCUGUUGUGAAAUUUCCUAUUUUGUUUCUGAAGAUUGGUCCUUAAUUGGAUUGGAACCUCUCCAAAAAGUUUAGAUAAUUCCAUUUGAGAUCAUUCUCUCAAAAAAGUGAGGAUUGAAGUGUAAGUUAUUGCAUUUGAGAUCAUUCUCAAACAGGCCUAGCUUGGUUGCUAUUCCGAGUUCUGAGACACUACGAAACUAAAAUGCUAGGCAUUUCAUAUGGAGAACUCCUCCUCCUUAUUGGGGCUACUGCUGCCCUCAUUGAUUAUUAUGAAAAGGGCCAAAGGAUCUCCCAUUGAUAUCAAGAAUGGCAGGAAGGAUGGCUGGCAGAGCAAUUGGAUAUGUUCAGUUAGCUCGAGGUCAGUUUGACUCUGUGAUGGAACAAACCCAUGCUCGCCAGGUUCACAAGGAAUUGCAAGACACGUUGGCUCAACUUGAUGCUAUUCGCCAUGAAAUUCGAAGCAUUUCGAUCUUGAAUCCUGGGCCAUUGACUCAAAGGCUUGUUGACAACCCUGAGCUCAAAGCAGCUGCUAGUGGUGUAACUAGUAAUUCAGCAGAAGAAAAACCUACCGUGGAGACUACACCAGUUGCUGAGAAAACUGCAGCAGUAGCUAGCAUCCUCAAGGUUGCAACUUCACAAAUAUCAAAUGAGCACAGCCGAGCAACUACGUUUGCCAGGUUGGCUGAAUCACCGAACAUAAAGAAUGGAUCCUCUGCCUCGUUGCCAAUUACUACAGAUGUAGAAAAGCUGAAUGACGAGUUUGGACUUCCCGUCUUACCUGUGUCGGCUGAAAAUACUGGGUUGUUACCUAAGCGCCCGGAGGAGUUUAAAGGGUCUGACAUAAUGUUAGAAGCAGUAUUGGAAGCAGAGGUUGCUCAUAAUGCAAAAGAAUUUUUCUCAUCUCAGCAAAGUCAAAUGAAACAGGAACAAGAAUGAAAAUUUCAUGAACAUCAUUUUGGUGCAUCAUAGAAUUGAUGAUUGGCUUAUAAAUGAAGUUCAGAAGGUUCAAAAAGCGUACCCCACCUCAGCUUUUGGUUUGAUCAUUCUCAAAGGAAUUUAACGCAUUCACAUUAAACUUAAGAAGGCUUUGGAAACUCAUGAAAUAAGUCCGAGUUGAUAUUUUUGAGUUUGAUAUUUUUCAGCUUUUAAUGUUAUAUGUUUAAUCCCGAAUAGGCAGUUGUUCUUCGAAGAUUAGUUAAAACUGCAACUAUGCUUAUUUGAAUCUUUGAAUGAGUAGAAUAGACAUAGAUUUCUAUUAGUGUAAAAUUUCUACGAAAUUCGAGUUAUUGAUAUAAUCUGAAAUUUGUAAAUAUUAUAUGAUUAUAUAUGAUUUUUUUUGUUUUUCGAAGAGUUA